GCGUUGGUGGUUUAGUGGUAAAAUUCAUCGUUGCCAUGGAGGACCAAUUGAUCUACUCAACACAGAGGCCCUUUCAACGUCGAUGAGCCCCGGGUUCGAUUCCCGGCCGACGCA